rnacentral:rRNA from 1 species
GACGAACGCUGGCGGCGUGCUUAACACAUGCAAGUCGAGCGGUAAGGCCCUUUCGGGGGUACACGAGCGGCGAACGGGUGAGUAGCACGUGGGUGACCUGCCCUCAGCUCUGGGAUAAGCCCGGGAAACUGGGUCUAAUACUGGAUAUGACUCCAUGACGCAUGUUGUGGGGUGGAAAGCCUUGUGCGGCUGAGGAUGGGCCCGCGGCCUAUCAGCUUGUUGGGGGGUGA